UGGUGAGAUAACGGCUCACCAAGUCGACGAUCGGUAGCCGGACUGAGAGGUUGAACGGCCACAUUGGGACUGAGACACGGCCCAGACUCCUACGGGAGGCAGCAGUGGGGAAUAUUGCACAAUGGGGGAAAGCCUGAUGCAGCAACGCCGCGUGAGGGAAGACGGUUUUCGGAUUGUAAACCUCUGUUUUCGGUGACGAACAAAUGACGGUAACCGAGUAGGAAGCCACGGCUAACUACGUGCCAGCAGCCGCGGUAAUACGUAGGUGGCAAGCGUUAUCCGGAAUUACUGGGUGUAAAGGGAGCGCAGGCGGGAUAGCAAGUCAGCUGUGAAAACUAUGGGCUCAACCCAUAAACUGCAGUUGAAACUGUUAUUCUUGAGUGGAGUAGAGGCAAGCGGAAUUCCGAGUGUAGCGGUGAAAUGCGUAGAUAUUCGGAGGAACACCAGUGGCGAAGGCGGCUUGCUGGGCUCUAACUGACGCUGAGGCUCGAAAGUGUGGGGAGCAAACAGGAUUAGAUACCCUGGUAGUCCACACUGUAAACGAUGAUUGCUAGGUGUGGGGGGUCUGACCCCCUCCGUGCCGGAGUUAACGCAAUAAGCAAUCCACCUGGGGAGUA
rnacentral:rRNA from 1 species